GAUGAACGCUGGCGGCGUGCCUAAUACAUGCAAGUCGAGCGAACGGACGAGAAGCUUGCUUCUCUGAUGUUAGCGGCGGACGGGUGAGUAACACGUGGAUAACCUACCUAUAAGACUGGGAUAACUUCGGGAAACCGGAGCUAAUACCGGAUAAUAUUUUGAACCGCAUGGUUCAAAAGUGAAAGACGGUCUUGCUGUCACUUAUAGAUGGAUCCGCGCUGCAUUAGCUAGUUGGUAAGGUAACGGCUUACCAAGGCAACGAUGCAUAGCCGACCUGAGAGGGUGAUCGGCCACACUGGAACUGAGACACGGUCCAGACUCCUACGGGAGGCAGCAGUAGGGAAUCUUCCGCAAUGGGCGAAAGCCUGACGGAGCAACGCCGCGUGAGUGAUGAAGGUCUUCGGAUCGUAAAACUCUGUUAUUAGGGAAGAACAUAUGUGUAAGUAACUGUGCACAUCUUGACGGUACCUAAUCAGAAAGCCACGGCUAACUACGUGCCAGCAGCCGCGGUAAUACGUAGGUGGCAAGCGUUAUCCGGAAUUAUUGGGCGUAAAGCGCGCGUAGGCGGUUUUUUAAGUCUGAUGUGAAAGCCCACGGCUCAACCGUGGAGGGUCAUUGGAAACUGGAAAACUUGAGUGCAGAAGAGGAAAGUGGAAUUCCAUGUGUAGCGGUGAAAUGCGCAGAGAUAUGGAGGAACACCAGUGGCGAAGGCGACUUUCUGGUCUGUAACUGACGCUGAUGUGCGAAAGCGUGGGGAUCAAACAGGAUUAGAUACCCUGGUAGUCCACGCCGUAAACGAUGAGUGCUAAGUGUUAGGGGGUUUCCGCCCCUUAGUGCUGCAACUAACGCAUUAAGCACUCCGCCUGGGGAGUACGACCGCAAGGUUGAAACUCAAAGGAAUUGACGGGGACCCGCACAAGCGGUGGAGCAUGUGGUUUAAUUCGAAGCAACGCGAAGAACCUUACCAAAUCUUGACAUCCUUUGACAACUCUAGAGAUAGAGCUUUCCCCUUCGGGGGACAAAGUGACAGGUGGUGCAUGGUUGUCGUCAGCUCGUGUCGUGAGAUGUUGGGUUAAGUCCCGCAACGAGCGCAACCCUUAAGCUUAGUUGCCAUCAUUAAGUUGGGCACUCUAAGUUGACUGCCGGUGACAAACCGGAGGAAGGUGGGGAUGACGUCAAAUCAUCAUGCCCCUUAUGAUUUGGGCUACACACGUGCUACAAUGGACAAUACAAAGGGCAGCGAAACCGCGAGGUCAAGCAAAUCCCACAAAGUUGUUCUCAGUUCGGAUUGUAGUCUGCAACUCGACUACAUGAAGCUGGAAUCGCUAGUAAUCGUAGAUCAGCAUGCUACGGUGAAUACGUUCCCGGGUCU
rnacentral:rRNA from 1 species